GAAGAACCUUACCACCCCUUGACAUCCUCGGAACUGCCUGGAGACAGGCAGGUGCCUUCGGGAACCGAGUGACAGGUGCUGCAUGGCUGUCGUCAGCUCGUGUCGUGAGAUGUUGGGUUAAGUCCCGUAACGAGCGCAACCCUUGUCCUUAUUUGCCAGCGGGUCAGGCCGGGAACUCUAGGGAGACUGCCGGUGACAAACCGGAGGAAGGUGGGGAUGACGUCAAGUCAUCAUGGCCCUCACGGGGUGGGCUACAAACGUGCUACAAUGGGCGGCACAGAGGGCUGUGAACCAGCAAUGGCAAGCGAAUCCCAAAAAACCGCUUGUAGUCCGGAUAGGAGUCUGCAACUCGACUCCUUGAAGUCGGAAUCGCUAGUAAUCGCGAAUCAGA
rnacentral:rRNA from 1 species